rnacentral:rRNA from 1 species
CUGCGGCGGCCUACACAUGCAAGUCGAACGCACGAAGUUGAAGAGCUUGCUCUUUAACAAGUGAGUGGCGGACGGGUGAGUAACACGUGGGUAACCUGCCCAUUAGAGGGGGAUAACAUUCAGAAACGGAUGCUAAUACCGCAUAGUUUCAGGGAUCGCAUGAUUCUUGAAAGAAAGGUGGCUUCGGCUACCACUAAUGGAUGGACCCGCGGCGUAUUAGCUAGUUGGUGAGGUAAUGGCUCACCAAAGCAAUGAUACAUAGCCGACCUGAAAGGGUGAUCGGCCGCACUGGGACUGAGACACAGCCCAGACUCCUACGGGAGGCAGCAGUAGGGAAUCUUCCGCAAUGGACGAAAGUCUGACAGAGCAACGCCGCGUGAGUGAAGAAGGUUUUCGGAUCGUAAAACUCUGUUGUUAAAGAAGAACAAGGAUGAGAGUAACUGCUCAUCCCCUGACGGUAUUUAACCAGAAAGCCACGGCUAACUACGUGCCAGCAGCCGCGGUAAU